AGGAUGAACGCUGGCGGCGUGCUUAACACAUGCAAGUCGAACGGUGAAAGAGGAGCUUGCUCCUCUGGAUCAGUGGCGAACGGGUGAGUAACACGUGAGUAACCUGCCCUUGACUCUGGGAUAAGCGUUGGAAACGACGUCUAAUACCGGAUACGACCUCCGAAGGCAUCUUCUGGAGGUGGAAAGAAUUUCGGUCAAGGAUGGACUCGCGGCCUAUCAGCUAGUUGGUGAGGUAAUGGCCCACCAAGGCGACGACGGGUAGCCGGCCUGAGAGGGUGACCGGCCACACUGGGACUGAGACACGGCCCAGACUCCUACGGGAGGCAGCAGUGGGGAAUAUUGCACAAUGGGCGCAAGCCUGAUGCAGCAACGCCGCGUGAGGGACGACGGCCUUCGGGUUGUAAACCUCUUUAGUAGGAAGAAGCGAAAGUGACGGUACCUGCAGAAAAGCACCGGCUAACUACGCGCCAGCAGCCGCGGU
rnacentral:rRNA from 1 species